rnacentral:rRNA from 1 species
UGACUAAAGGAGCUUGCUCCGCUUUGGGAGGGGCCUGCGUCCCAUCAGCUAGUUGGUAGGGUAAUGGCCUACCAAGGCGAUGACGGGUAGGGGACCUGAGAGGGUGGCCCCCCACAAUGGAAGUGAAACGCGGUCCAUACACCUACGGGUGGCAGCAGUAGGGAAUAUUGGUAAUGUGCGAAAGCGCGAACCAGCAACGCCGCGUGUGCGAAGACGGCCUUCGGGUUGUAAAGCACUUUUCGGGAGGAAGAGGAAGGACUGUACUCCCGGAAUAAGUCUCGGCUAACUACGUGCCAGCAGCCGCGGUAAUACGUAGGAGGCAAACGUUAUCCGGAUUUACUGGGCGUAAAGCGCGUGCAGGCUGUUCAAUAAGUUGGGCGUGAAAGCUCCCGGCUCAACUGGGAGAGGUCGUUCAAUACUGUUGGACUAGAGGAUGGUAGAGGAAGGUGGAAUUCCGGGUGUAGUGGUGAAAUGCGCAGAUAUCCGGAGGAACACCAGUGGGCGAAAGCGGCCUUCUGGACCAUUCCUGACGCUCAGACGCGAAAGCUAGGUUAGCGAACCGGGAUUAGAGACCCCGGUAGUCCUAGCUGUAAACGGUGUGAACUUGGCGUCGGUGGGAUUAAAUCCAUCGGUGUCGUGGCUAACGCGAUAAGUUCACCGCCUGAGGACUACGGCCGCAAGGUUAAAACUCAAAGGAAUUGACGGGGGCCCGCACAAGCAGCGGAGCGUGUGGUUUAAUUCGUUGCUACACGAAGAACCUUACCUGGGUUUGACAUAUAGGUUGUAGGGAACUGAAAAGGGACCGACCCUUCGGGGAGCCUAUACAGGUGUUGCAUGGCUGUCGUCAGCUCGUGUCGUGAGAUGUUCGGUUAAGUCCGCUAACGAGCGCAACCCUCGCCGUAUGUUAUACGUGUCAUACGGGACUGCCGGUAAUAAGCCGGAGGAAGGUGGGGAUGAUGUCAAGUCAGCAUGACCUUUAUAUCCAGGGCUACACACACGCUACAAUGGUCUGUACAAUGGGUAGCCAAGCCGCGAGGCGGAGCCAAUCCUGAAAGCAGCCUCAGUUCAGAUUGCAGUCUGCACCCGACUGCAUGAAGCCGGAGUUGCUAGUAACCGCAGGUCA